UGGCUCCCAUUGAACCCCAAAGGCUGCCAGGUCAACCCCAUGGCUCCCAUUGAACCCCAAAGGCUGCCAGGUCAACCCCAUGGCUCCCAUUGAACCCCAAAGGCUGCCAGGUCAACCCCAUGGCUCCCAUUGAACCCCACAGGCUGCCAG